CACUAUGCCCAGCCCUAAAAAUUGAUUGAACGCUACAACCUCAAUCCGCCUGGGUAUUACGAACUUCGGUUUAAAACCCAAAGGACUUGGCGGUGCUUUAAAACCUUCUAGAGGAGCCUGUCCUGUAACCGAUACUUCCCGUUAAACCUCACCCUCUCUUGCUCCUUCCCGCCUAUAUACCGCCGUCGCCAGCCUACCCUGUGAAGGGUCGAUAGUGGGCUCAACCGAUAUUAUCCCAUACGUCAGGUCGAGGUGUAGUGAAUGAGAGGGGAUAAGAUGGGCUACAUUCGCUGUAACCCAGCGAAUACGAAUCAUGCAUUGAAACAAUGCUGCUGAAGGUGGAUUUAGUAGUAAGCCGGGAACAGAGUGCCCUGCUGAAAAAGGCUCUAAAGCGCGUACAUACCGCCCGUCACCCUCCCUAAGUCUAUAGAAAUCCCCAUUACUUAAAUAACCUUCGCCUGCGAAAGGGAGGAAAGUCGUAA
rnacentral:rRNA from 1 species